rnacentral:tRNA from 1 species
GGUAGUAUGGCCGACUAGGCGGUAAACUGUAAAUUUACACACAGGGCUCGGCCCUUGCUCCCA